UAUGUUAUUUUAAAUAAAUCCACUUUUUAAGUGGGGUGUCCUAGAGGCUAGGUUUUCCUAUGGCUUUCUUACCUUCAGUGACCUGGAGAGUGGAGAUGUUAGGAAAAUUAGAGAGGACAGCCUCUUAAGUCAGAAAAUCUGGGUUCAGGUAUAAGGUCUGCCAUUGAUUCCCUAACUGACUGGACUCGGGAAUUUCUUCCACUGCUCUGGCCUCAGUUUAUUUACCUGUAGAAAGGGCUACAGGUGGCCUGUCAGGUGGCCUGGGAUAUACGAUUCAUGAGCACACCCCGAGAGCUAGCCGCAUGAGGUUCCAAAGCCACUUGGCCUGGAAGGCUGAGAGGUACGGCCCAACCCUUAAGCUCUGUGCAGGUGAGAACUUGGCCUGGUCUAUGGCACCCCGUAAGUGUCAAACCUCUUGACCUCUUCCGCCCCCUUGGCUGGCCAUGCAGUUCAAGGUUAUGGUCACCAGGGGUCAGGCUUGCACGUUGAUGGCUAAGUUCUGCCUUAUGUGCUGCUGGGGGGUGGGGGGGCCUCCGGCGUGGGAGCUAGAGGGUCACAUGUUUCAUGUGGCUCCUGGGCUGGGGGGGGUCUGUGACCUGUAGAUCUGGAAGGUGAACUGCUGUCUUCUCCUGUAUUUACAUUCUGCUUGGUACCUCCUGGAGGGCUCCUCACAUCUUUGGCCCUCACCGGGAGACCCCAUGGAGGAAGCUAGUUCAUGGAGCUGGAGUCUGGAGAGAAUUCUGGGCAGGGAAUUUGGAGAGCGUUUGGGUCCUUGUUCUAAGUCUGCCUCUUAUUAGCGUCCUUGUGGAUUAUAUAGCCUCCUGAGCCCCGGGUUUCUUCAGUAGAAUGAGGUCACAAUGCCUCUCUUGCAGCGAUGUGUCAAGAUCUGGAGAGCUGAGGUGUGGCUAUGGGGCAGGGGUGGUAUCUCUAGGCCAGCGCAGCCCGUGUCUGGAAUGGCUUAUGUUGAAGGUGGAGACAUAAUAGAAAGACAGGAAAAGAAUCCAGUACAAGGACCGUCAGGAGGCGCCACCGGACCCUUUGCCAAGUCCUGGAAGCAAGCGCCGAGCUCCGAGGAGGGAGGGGGUGCUGUAAACCCACAAGAGGGCAGUUCACUGGCUUGCUCCUUCAUAGCCGGGGGAACAAACUCAGGGCUCAUCGGGCAGGUGGCUCAGCUGGGCUCUGCGGCCUUUGGAAACGAGUACUAGAUCAGGCACCCAGUGCAGGUGCACGGAGAUGAGCCAGGCCACAGCCUGCGGGCUGUUGGGCCUCUGGGAUUUCAGGUUCCAUUCAGCAGUAUUUCCUGAGCACCUGCUCUGGCUGCGGGAGCUUAUGCUCUAGAAGUAGACGCAGAUGCUUCCCGCGCGGCAAGAUGGCUCCCACCUUUGGUCCAGGCACCAGCCCCAGCCCCCAGAGAAGGCUUUCCCGCUCAUGAUCGCCCAGCCUCCUCCAAGAACCCCCCACACCCACCUUUAUAUUGCAGAGGGCGGAAGAUGCAUGGCCUGGGGGUCCCUGGCAGAGUUGGCGUCCUUGAUGGGCACCCACCCUUGCCUAUGAAUAGUCUAGCCCUCCUCCUGGCCCCAGCCCUGCUACGUCUCAGCAGGUGGCCAGCCAUGCGCCCCGGGGCUGUUCCCUGGCCCCGGUUCUCUGGUGCGGCUGGUGGUUCCCGAAAGCCGAAAGCCCGAGUCCUCUCCCUCGUGCCUGUUCUCAGGGCGGGUCCCCAUGGCCCUGAUGGAUUGCCCUCUCACCCCCAUCGGGUUGCUGCGGUUUCCUCAUCAGCAGAAAUGACUCCUCACCUACAGUUGUGUCAGUCUUUCCACAGAUGGAGUGAGUCACGUUGCAAGAUGUGGUCACAGGCGGCGCCCUGUGCUCCAGUUAGGGGCCAGCUGGGCCAGGCCGGGCUGGGGUUUGGGGCUGACCGUGCUCUGACUUGGACUUGGGCGAGGGAAGCAGAGGCCACCGGGGGAGCGCCAGCGGUGGGGGAGGACCGGUGAGAGAGGUCACGGGGCUUGUCCACACAGGCAGGGCAGGGGACUGAAGCAAGGGUCCGGUGACUGUGGCCGCGACCACACUGGGGAACCAUACGGCUUACUCACCCCCCGCCCGACCACGACACCCAGAGGAAGAGGGAUGAAGGGACCGAGCAGGUGCCCCCUCUAACACGCUGCAGUGGUGUGGGGGGAGCCAGGGACAUGAGCCUGUUUGCUUCUUCCUCUUCCUCUAGUUGGAGCUCCCAGGCCUGCUUCCCCUUCAGCUGACACGCAGUGGCCAUGGGCUGAGGGCUCCAGCCUCAAGACCGAUUUCUUCUUCUCUCGGCUUCACAGGCCCGGCCUAUAACUGCCCUCAGGUCGGGACUGUCUCCAGGAAGAGGUCUCCUGGCUUCCUUCUGAGCUCCACGACCAUAUGUCCCACUGUCUACUUGGCGUCUUCUUGAGAAUCUUCAACGUUACCUGAAAUUUAAUAUGCUGAAGACCAAAGGGUCUUCCUCCCUCUACCCCUGGUCCCUAAGGCUGCCCCUCCCCCCAGGGCUCCUCAGCUCACUAGAUGGCAAUGCCAUCCCCCUGCUUACACAAGCCAGUGUCAUCCUUGGCCCUUCCCUCUCUCUCCCACACCAUUUCAUGUUAACCCCCUCACUCAGCCCUGACAAUUUUACUUCUUCGGCAUCUCUCCGCUCCAUCCCCCCUCUCUCUCCUGCUCCAUCACUAGUCCGUGGGGCCUCGGUGUCCCAUCUGGUUGCUGUGAGGUCCCUCGGUGACCUCCGUGCCCAUCGAACCCCACCCAGAUGUUCUUCAUGCUGCAAUGGGAGGGAUCCUUUCAAGAUGCAAAUUUGGUCACACAUUCCCUCUCCCCAUUCAAUAGCCCCGCCAUGGCUCUUGGGAAAAGGAUGAAAUCCUGGUCUCUGCUUGCUUCUCAUCCCAUCUCGCUCCUGGCACAGCGCCUAGCACAUAGUAGGCACUUGGAUCGGAACCCAGGCACUCUGAGCUGAGAACCAAGCUCCUCGUGUUUACGCUGUUCUGCCCACUCCCUGCACUUGGCACAGAGGAGGUGACAACAUGGUGACCUGUGGAUGGAACCCAGCAGAAGCAGGGGGGAAGGCUGCUAGCUGGGGGGUGAGUCAGCCCUCUCCCUGUGGUCUGAGGCUGUCAUCAGGAACCGCGACAGUCAUUUCUUUCUUUGUGGCUUUGAGGUCUGGGGGCAGAGGGUGUGGGCUCCUGAGACCCCUCGGGCUGCCAUGGAGAGCUCAGUGUGUUGGGACCCAGGGGAUACAGGAGGGACUCUGGGGAGUCCCUGGGGGAGCUGUCCCCCCCCUCCCCACUGGCUGUGGACCUCUAGGACAGUGAGGGCUCCAAGUGUUCAGAGGGUCGAAUUUCAUCUUAACUCCCCAGGAGGCUCCUGCGCCCCGUUCUCAAGCAUGGAGAAUUUAAGGGACCGGCCCAAGUCCCCGUGGAUGUUCAGUGACACCGCCGGACUUGGUGCCAGGCCUGCCUGGUCCCCGAAGCCGCCCUCUCUCCCCUGUCCCAUGCCAGCCCCUCUGGGGGCAGCUCUGCCUCUCCUCUGAGGGGCCAAGAGGAAGAGAAAGUGAGGGGCGGAGCGGGGAGCUGGGUCCUGGCAGGAAGGGGAUUUGCCCCAAGGGUUCAGAUGAGGGAACUGAGGACAGAGGUUUCUCACGGAGGGGUGAGGGGUUGUGCAGGACGGAGGGACCCGUGAGACGGGCU